GACGAACGCUGGCGGCGCGCUUAACACAUGAAAGUCGAACGGGAAGGCCCUGCUUUUGUGGGGUGCUCGAGUGGCGAACGGGUGAGUAACACGUGAGUAACCUGCCCUUGACUUUGGGAUAACUUCAGGAAACUGGGGCUAAUACCGGAUAGGAGCACCUGCUGCAUGGUGGGGGUUGAACAGUUUCGGCGGUUGGGGAUGGACUCGCGGCUUAUCAGCUUGUUGGUGGGGUAGUGCCUUACCAAGGCUUUGACGGCUAGCCGGCCUGCGAGGGUGACCGGCCUCAUUUGGUCUAAGCUCCUCCCCAGCCUCCUUCGGGAGGCAGCAGUGGGGCAUAUUGCCCCAUGGGCGGAAGCCUGACGCAGCAACGCAGCCUGCGGGAUUACGGCCUUCGGGUUGUAACCCGCUUUCGCCUGUUACGAAGCGUGAGUGACGUUAAUGGGUAAAGAAGCCCCGUCUAACUACGUG
rnacentral:rRNA from 1 species